rnacentral:rRNA from 1 species
CAAUAGAUACCCGGGUAGUCCACGCCGUAAACGAUGAGUGCUAAGUGUUAGAGGGUUUCCGCCCUUUAGUGCUGCAGCUAACGCAUUAAGCACUCCGCCUGGGGAGUACGGCCGCAAGGCUGAAACUCAAAGGAAUUGACGGGGGCCCGCACAAGCAGUGGAGCAUGUGGUUUAAUUCGAAGCAACGCGAAGAACCUUACCAGGUCUUGACAUCCUCUGCCAACCCUAGAGAUAGGGCGUUCCCCUUCGGGGGACAGAGUGACAGGUGGUGCAUGGUUGUCGUCAGCUCGUGUCGUGAGAUGUUGGGUUAAGUCCCGCAACGAGCGCAACCCUUGAUCUUAGUUGCCAGCAUUUGGUUGGGCACUCUAAGGUGACUGCCGGUGACAAACCGGAGGAAGGUGGGGAUGACGUCAAAUCAUCAUGCCCCUUAUGACCUGGGCUACACACGUGCUACAAUGGAUGGUACAAAGAGCUGCGAACCCGCGAGGGUAAGCGAAUCUCAUAAAAGCCAUUCUCAGUUCGGAUUGUAGG